CCCCGGCCGCCGCGCCGCGCCCCGCCCUUUGGCCCCGACUGAUCUGCCCCGGCUCCCCUCCCCCCGGCCCCGACACCCACACCCCAGACCUCGGGAACCGGAGGGCGGCGUGGGGAUGGGGUCUCUUCCCCGGACAGAGGCCCCAGAAUCCCCCUCAGCCUCCAGUCCAGACUGAUCGCCGCCGCGUAUCCCUGGUGCAGCUCCCUCCGCCAUUCCAUGUGCUAGGCUAGAAGAUUCUGAGGUGGAAUUGGAGGAGGGGGCGCGGAGGCCGCCGUCUUUCCCACUUGGGGGCGGCGGCGGGGCCUGGUGGGGUCUGGAGUGAGAUCUCCGAGGAGGCAGGUCGUUGGGAAGUGGAUUUCAGAGCAGUGGACAAUGGAUGUUGUGGGGGAAGGUCCUUCCCCCAUAAUCCUGGCCCCAGUUGGAGAGGAGGAAGAGGAGGGUGUAGCUGCUACAGUACCUAGGAGAAGGAGGCCUAGACGAACCGCAUUGUCUCUCCAUCUAAUGAGCUGGCGCCUUCCCCUCUCCUGGGGCCCCCACCCCAGCCAGGCCCCAGCUGGGCCCUGGCGCCUACCCCUCUUCUGACCAGGGGGUUGCUGGCUCCCUGGCCCUCAGGUGGGCAGGGGCCCCUGGGGAUCUCUAAUGGCAUCAUCAGGACUAGAAAUCUCCCCGAGGCUCUGAGCUGAGCCGGGAAGACCAGAAGGAGGGGACCAGAUGGAGGAGGCCAAGCCUGAAGGCUGGAGGGCUGGGGUCUUUGUGGUUAGUGCCUCAGAGUACCAGGCUGACGUCUGAGACUGACUCCACCUGACAUGAUACACACUGCCUUCCUACCAGGAGGCCCCUCUGCAGUGGAAAAGCAUGGAGCUCAGAGGGACCUGGGUUCAAAUCCUGGCUCCACCACUUUCUAGUUGCAUGACCUGGGUGAUUUUGUCCUCUCUGAGUUCCAUCUGUUAGGUAAGCUAAUUAAUAUUGAUUCCUUAAUGUAUAUCAAGUCGGUGCUCCACCAGGGUCAGCCCCCGUGUUAGCCGGCAUUUAUAUAGCUCAUUACCAUUCAAAGCGUUUUCCCAGAGCUGGCUCAUUUAACUCUCACAACCACCCUGGGCUGGGUAUCGGUCUGCCCAUUUUAUAGAUGAGGAGACUGAGAUUCAGAAAGCAGGGGACUUGCCUGAGGAACCCGAGGAUGUCAGAGCCUGAGGCUGGACUGGAACCCAAGUCUGUGUGUGUUCAGUCCACUCUACCUCCAGGCCCUGCUUCUGGCCCAGAGGGCAGCUUUGCCCACCCUGCCCCCCCAUCCCCACGUGACAGAGGACAGAGCACUCCAUCCAGCCCUGCCCCUGGCUGUCAGGUCACCAUGGACACGUCAGCAAGAGGAGCUGACGUGGCAGAUGCCAGCCAGUGAGUGUAUCUGGCCCUGGGCCUGGUGGGCGCAGGUGGCAGUACGCCAAGGCUGUGGUGUGGGCCGGCCCUCCAGGACACCGUGGCCUGGCCGUGGACAAGGCCAGCUUGUGGGAAUAAUCAGGGCCGUGUCUCCAGCCCCACGUGACCUACCCCGCCUGCCCUGGCAGCCCCCGCUGCCCUUUCCCUGGGCCCAACUUGGUUUAACCCAGGGUGGUUACUGCUCUCUCGUGGCUCUUUGGUGGGGUCGUGGAUCUGACUCAGCUGGGUUUGAGUCCUGGCUCGGCCUUCUUAGCCAUGUACCAAGACUGGGCACUUGACCUUCUGAGCCUAUUUCUUCUCCGUGAUGCCGGCUUUAGCACCUGCUCAGGGUAGUCCUAAGACUCGGAUGAGAGGGCACAUGUUGAGUGUUUCAAGGGCUGUGGAAAGCUGCAUUCAUACAGGGCUGUUUUUUUAAUAUUGUUGUUAUUAUUGUGUGGGUACCCUCAGCACCACUGUCAGCUUCCAAAAGGCAUAAGAAGUCAACACCUAAACUUUGGUUUGCCCAAUGGCUGGCACAGAGUAGGUGCUCGGUAAUGCCUUAGCGGUUUCUUAUUUAAUGAGGGAGGAACCCGGAUGCUGGUGUCCUGGAGUACAGAGAGUAGCAGGGCCUGCUCUCAGGGAAGAACAGUGGGAAGCACUGGCCCUCGGGACCGUCUCUUCCCCAGGCACCACUCUCGGUGCUUUCUGUGCAAGAGCAUUUAGUCCUCACCAGAACCGUACAAACAGAGUGUUAUUACUAUCCCCACUCUACAGAUGAAGAAACUGAGGCAUAAAGAGGUUAGGGAAGUGGCAGAGCUGGGGUUGGAACGCAGGCAAUCUGAUUUCAGAGCCACGCUGAAAGGAGGGAGCCCUGGCACACUGGGGGAGACUUUGUGGAGGGGUGACCCAGGCGUGGAGCUGGAGGGGUGUCGAGCGUUCGUCUGUUGGUAGUUGGUUUGAAUAAAUAUGUGUUUGUUUCUGAUUAUAGAAAUGCGCCAACCAGUGACUAGUAGUUCCCUCCGAAUAUGGUAUGAGGGGAGGGAUUUUCACUUGUUUUACAUACUUCUGUAUUAUUUGACUUCUUAUUUCUAUAACAAGCAUAGGUUAAUUCUGUAACUUACAAAAUAAUAAAAGAAAAUUCCAAACUAAA